GGGGGCGUUUUGGGAUUCGACGGAGACAGUUCGAGCGUCGGUAGCGAGCCGAGGGGCUGCGUCCUUCGUCAAAAACGCGGAUUGCCUAAAUGUAACUGGCAAACAAGAAAACUACGCUCUGGCUGCCUAAUUUAGCCGGCCAGGAUCCGUCUCUCCAUCGCCCGUGUGGCGAGUUCGGGUCUCAAAUUUCAGCGGGCUAGCCGAUCGGCAUGCCGUCGACCGUGAGGCGAACUUAAGAUGGCUAGUCCUUCGGAACGCCUGUCACCGGGCAGUCCGAUGAACGAAUCCUCAAUACGGUGACUGCGCUCGGAGAAUCCGGCGUGGCGAUGUCUUCGGACAGCGGUUCGACUCCGCUCGCCUCCACCA
rnacentral:tmRNA from 1 species